rnacentral:sRNA from 2 species
UGGUGCGCUGUACGAGCCAGUUCGUCGGCUUGUGUGAGCUGGGUUUAUUUGGAGGAGACUUCAUCAGCACAAUGCACGAAAUGGGGAACUAAGCUUUAGGGCCGUCAGCCGUUGGUGCUUCUCCUGUUUGCUGGCUUUGUUUGCACCGAUGCUCAAGAUAUGAAAAAAGGAGCGAAUAUCAAUUUCUGCACUCAUAAAUAUUCACUAUCUGCUGCAAGUGAUGUUCCCGUGAAGAUUCGGAGCUUGGACGAAGAGACGGGCGGCUAGGCUAUGCUUGGUUACAUAUGAUGCAGGGUUACCGAGCGAGACAACAAAAAAAUGCCUUUGAGUUUUUGCGCGUAGAUGGAAUAUUUAAUUUACAUGGCAAACCACUAUACAAUCCAGGCUCACCCAUUCACCAUUCCCAUGGUAUACAUAUGAACAAGAUGCGAGU